rnacentral:rRNA from 1 species
GACGGAGGAUGCAAGUGUUAUCCGGAAUCACUGGGCGUAAAGCGUCUGUAGGUGGUUUCAAAAGUCCACUGUUAAAGAUUGAAGCUUAACUUCAAAAAUGCCGUGGAAACUUUGAAACUUGAGUAUGAUAGGGGUAGAGGGAAUUUCCAGUGGAGCGGUGAAAUGCGUAGAUAUUGGAAAGACCACCAAGGCGAAGGCACUCUACUGGGCCAUUACUGACAUGAGAGACGAAAGCUAGGGGAGCAAAUGGG